GCCAGCAUAGUAUAGUGGUUUGAACAUCGGACUAGGACUCUGUAGUCCAGAGUUUGACUCUCUGCUCAGCCA